rnacentral:snRNA from 1 species
GUGCUUGCUUCGGCAGCAGAUAUACUAAAAUUGGAACAGUACAGGGAAGGUUAGCAUGGCCCCUGCGCAAGGAAGACAUGCAAAUUCAUGAAGCGUUCCGUAUUUUU